UAUUACGUGGUCCUGCUAACCUGCAG
rnacentral:piRNA from 1 species